rnacentral:rRNA from 1 species
AACGAACGCUUGCGGCAGGCCUAAAACAUGCAAGUCGAACGGGUGUAGCAAUACAUCAGUGGCGCACGGGUGAGUAACGCGUGGGAACAUGCCCCUUAGUACGGGACAACGUCGGGAAACUGACGCUAAUACCGUAUAAUAUCUCCGGAUCAAAGAUUUAUCGCUGAGGGAGUGGCCCGCGUCUGAUUAGCUAGUUGGUGAGGUAAUGGCUCACCAAGGCUACGAUCAGUAGCAGGUCUGAGAGGAUGAUCUGCCACACUGGGACUGAGACACGGCCCAGACUCCUACGGGAGGCAGCAGUUAGGAAUAUUGGACAAUGGGGGAAACCCUGAUCCAGCCAUGCCGCGUGUGUGAUGAAGGCCCUAGGGUUGUAAAGCACUUUCGUUGGGGAUGAUAAUGACCGUACCCAAAGAAGAAGCCACGGCUAAAUUCGUGCCAGCAGCCGCGGUAA